rnacentral:rRNA from 1 species
AGUGAACGCUGGCGGUAUGCCUAACACAUGCAAGUCGAACGGCAGCACAGUAAGAUCGUGCUCUUACGGGUGGCGAGUGGCGGACGGGUGAGGAAUACAUCGUAAUCUACUUUUUCGUGGAGGAUAACGUAGGGAAACUUACGCUAGUACCGCAUACGACGUACGGGUGAGAGCAGUGGAUCUUCUGACCUUGCGCGAAUGAAUGAGCCGAUGUCGGAUUAGCUAGUUGGCGGGGUAAAGGCCCACCAAGGCGACGAUCCGUAGCUGGUCUGAGAGGAUGAUCAGCCACACUGGAACUGAGACACGGUCCAGACUACUACGGGAGGCAGCAGUGGGGAAUAUUGGACAAUGGGCGCAAGCAUGAUCCAGCCAUACCGCGUGGGUGAAGAAGGCCUUCGGGUUGUAAAGCCCUUUUGUUGGGAAAGAAAAGCAGCAGGUUAAUACCCCGCUGUUCUGACGGUACCCAAAGAAUAAGCACCGGCUAACUUCGUG